CACGGGGGUUGCGAGCGUUGUCCGGAAUUACUAGGCGUAAAGGGCAGGCAGGCGGAUCCAUAAGUUUAUCGUUUAAGGCGUCGGCUUAACCGGCGUAGGGCAGUAGAUACUGUGGAUCUGGAAUGCGGUUGGGGAAGACAGAAUUCCUGGUGUAGCGGUGGAAUGCGCAGAGAUCAGGAGGAAUACCGAAGGCGAAGGCAGUCUUCCAAGCCGUUAUUGACGCUCAACUGCGAAGGUGUGGGUAUCAAACAGGAUUAGAUACCCUGGUAGUCCCU
rnacentral:rRNA from 1 species